rnacentral:lncRNA from 1 species
AAAAAUUACGAAACUGAUUUUCGAGUUGUGAAACUCAAGAUAUGAUUUUUUAAGGUGACAGUGUCGCAGUUAGCCAACUGCCUGGAAAAAUUUAAAAUGGACUGCGAUAGUAAGCGAAUUUGGUCUGUGAACCCCUCGUGUCCGACUCCGGCAACAGUCUCGGGUACGGGGUGUUACAGCAGCAGUAUCAAACAACCAG